rnacentral:rRNA from 1 species
AUGGAGUUUGUGGUGGGUGCUUCGGAAGCCACAAUGAGAUCUCUGCUAGGCAAGCUGGGUGGCCUCCUUGCCCAGGAGUACACUCUGAUCCGAGGAGUACGGGGAGACAUCCAGUACAUCAAUGAUGAGCUCACCACCAUGCAGGCCUUCCUUGGUGAUGUUAGCUCUGUCCCGGACAGUCAUGAUCGCCGGCUGAAGGACUGGAUGAAGCAGAUCCGUGACAUGGCAUAUGACACAGAGGACUGCAUCGAUGACUUUGCUCACCGCCUCCCUCGUGACUCCCUCGGCGAUGUCCGAUGCUCCUUCAUAGUGACGAUAGUCUAUGAACUAUGGACGUUGGGGCCUCGCCGUGACAUUGCCUCCAAGAUUGCUGAACUCAAGAUCCGGGCACAACAGAUUGCUGAAAGGCGCGGCAGAUACGGAGUGGACAACCCAGGCAACAGUAACAGCAGCAGCUCUGUAGCCGGAGCCCCCCGCAUCACUAGGCAUGACAUUGCUGAGCAUCUGAUGGGUAGCCGUCAGCUCAUCCGUACGGAGAGGCCCGUGGGUGUGGCAGAAGACAUGGAAAAGCUUGGAGAUUGGUUAAAGAAAUGUGAUAAUUCUUCUGGAAAGCAUCGAGCUGUUCUGUCCAUAGUCGGUUUCGGUGGCAUGGGAAAGACCACCAUUGCAACGGCAUUGUACCGAGACUUCAGGAAUGAAUUUGACUGCCGGGCCUCAGUCACUGUUUCCCAGAAUUACGAUGAGGAUGAAGUGCUCAGGGAUAUUCUGAGUCAAAUCAAGCCACAGGACAGCGAACACGACCAACAAGGAAGUAGCAAAGGAGGUUUGGAGGAAAGAAGCCUAGCUACAGAUAUUAAAAGCUCAGUGAAGAGAGUUCUCCCACUGAUCUUUGGCCAAAGGCAGCAGGGCAAUGAUGGCAGCUCUAAAUGGACGCAGAACAAGAUAGAAACGAUGAACCGUGAUCAACUUGUCGAAGAAUUGGAAGGGCGACUGAAUGGAAAGAGGUAUCUCCUCUUGAUUGAUGACAUAUGGUCUGCAGAAACAUGGGAUAAGAUCAGAAGUUGGUUGCCACGUGAGAAUACAAAAGAUAGUAGAGUAAUAGUGACUACAAGAUUUCAAGCUGUGGGUGCGGCUUGCUCCGAAGGAAAUGUAACUGAUCAUCUGCAUACAGUUGAUGCCCUUAGUGGUACCGACUCCAGAAAUUUGUUUUAUCACAGUGUUUAUGAAUCCAAAAAUAGCAAGAAAGUACAGGUGCAUGAGGACAUAUGGAAAUAUUGUGGGGGGCUGCCUUUGGCGAUAGUUAGCAUGGCCGGUCUUGUCGCAUGCAACCCCAAAAAACAAAAUGAUCACUGGAGUACAGUUUGCAAGUCAUUAUUUCCAGAGCAGGUGGCUCCACUUACCCUGGAUGGUGUCACAACAAUACUCGAUUAUUGCUACAAUGAUUUGCCUGCAGACCUCAAGACCUGUUUAUUGUACUUGAGCAUAUUUCCAAAGGGUUGGAAAAUUAGCAGGAAGCGUUUGACAAGGCGUUGGAUAUCUGAAUGCUUUGUCAGUGGGAAGCAAGGGCUGACCGCGGAUGAAGUUGCAGAGACAUACUUUAAUCAGCUCAUAAGAAGGAAGAUAAUACACCCUUUGGAGCACAGCAGCAAUGGGAAGGUAAAAUCGUUCAAAGUUCAUGACAUGAUCCUUGAAUACAUCGUGUCCAAGUCAAGUGAAGAGAAUUUCAUUACUGUUGUUGGUGGCCACUGGCUGAUGCCAGCACCUGGCAAUAAAGUCCGUCGACUCUCGAUGCAGAGCAGUGGUUCCAAGCAUGGGAAUUCGACAAAAGGCAUGAACUUGUCUCAAGUGCGAUCACUGACUGUAUUUGGAAGCAUGAACAAGCUGCCUUUCCAUUCAUUCAAUAAUGGGAUAAUUCAAGUGUUGGAUCUCGAGGGUUGGAAGGGUUUGACACAUAACCAUCUGAAUGACAUAUGUCGAAUGCUUGUACUGAAGUAUUUGAGCCUCCGAAGAACAGAGGUUGCGAAGAUUCCCUCCAAGAUUGAGAAGCUUCAGUAUCUAGAAACUCUUGAUGUAAGGGAGACAAAUGUUGGCGUCCUGCCCAAAGCUUUCGGCCAGCUCCAACGGCUCCGCAGCAUGUUCGGAGGGAGUAAAAACCCACGGAAGGCGUUAAAAUUGCCUCAAGAGAAAAAUAAGGUGCAAAUGAAAGCACUUCGUAUACUGUCAGGGAUUGAGAUCACCGAGCGCUCAACAGGUGUAGCAAGCCUCCAUCAGCUCACCGGGCUAAAGAAACUUGCCAUUUACAAGCUGAACAUAGAGAAGGAUGGACCGACCUCCACACAAUUGCGCUCCUCUAUUGGGUAUCUCUGCAGCUGCGGCCUGCAGACUCUAGCAAUCAAUGAUGAGAGUUCUGGUUUUAUCAACACACUGGAUUCCAUGCCCGCUCCUCCAAGAUACCUCAUCGCCCUCGAGCUGUCGGGAAAAUUGGAAAGAGCUCCAAAGUGGACUGAGAAUCUCAAAACUCUAUACAAGCUAACCCUUUCCGUGACAGUUCUCCGUGCUGAUACUUUGGAGCUCCUCUGCGACCUACCUAAGCUGUUCUGUCUCACCUUCUCACUCAAUGCAGCGAAGCAGCACGAGGAGGACGUAGAGGACAUGCUUCAGGAAAAUAAACGCCUCGGUGGUGGGGAGAUCGUUGUUCCACCUGGAGGUUUCAAGAGCCUGAAGCUGCUUCGCUUCUUUGCAACUGUCGUGCCUAGGGUGACAUUUGCAGCGGAGGCAAUGCCAGCAGUUGAGAGGAUCGAUAUGCGGUUCCAAGCCUUUGAAGGGGUUUACGGCAUCGACAGACUUAAAAGUAUCCAGGAGGUGCAUCUCAGCGUUGACAAUCAAGCAGAUGAAGCAACCAAAUACUUGGUUGGAUAUCUGAAGAAAAACACACACAAGCCAAAAAUAAUCACUGAUUGA